GCGUCGGUAGUGUAGCGGUUCGAGGACGCGCCCCUGGGCAAAGUCAAAUGUGGGUUCGAGUCCCAACUGACGCA